AUACUUAAAUACGUUUUUUAAAACAUUACUUUAUACCAUAUUAUACUUCUUAUUACAAGAUUAAAUAAGAAAGGUGAUGCACUAAAUGGCGUAAUUUCCUCCCUCGCACCACAUGCAUGAUGCAUCUCUAUGAAUACACAAAAAAAAAAAAAAAACGAUGUCAACGAGUGGUUUUAGACUUUUAGUAAUAGUUUACGUACAUUAAAGAACUAUUUUUCCUUUUCGUACCAAUAAUUACCUUAAUUAAUAAUCACAAAUUUCGUUUUAAGCAACAUACAAUUCAGCCCAACAAACUUGUUUUUAUAUAAUACUAC
rnacentral:lncRNA from 1 species